GAAAUCAGGGAGCAGUAGCAAGAUGGACUGGAGGCCUGUGGCAGGGAUAUUACUAUUUGCAACGCUGUCCUGUUGCCAAAGGGUGGAGGUACAGCAUGCUGACCUCGCCAAACGAGACGCAAAUGAGUGUGGGGGAACCAUUGAUGGGGGAUUUGGAACCAUCACGUCC